rnacentral:lncRNA from 1 species
AGCAGCUGGAGGGAGUUAGGGUUUUGCCAUCUUCAGAAUCCCCUUAGCAUGUGCCUGUAGUGUAAAGGCAGAGCAGGCAGGACAGAAAAAGAGCCUGGAUUCCAUAGGGGUUGCUCUUAGAACGCAUUCCAGAAAGUGCAGGGGCACUUCAGGGAUGACAUUUGGUAUCUUUCCUCAUUUCUUCUCGCUAAGUCGUUCUCUCUUGUGCGGUGCUUGUGUGGGGGAGACAUUUGUGGACAGGAGGGCUUUGCUGGGGCUGCUCAGAUUUACCCACUCCUCUGCUGGUCCCCAUCAAAAGAUGAAGAGUGCCCGUCACAGCCAGCAAUAGUCAGACUCCAAGUGGAGGGCCAGGCUGACCUCCUCCGCUUCCUCCUUGGGAAGAAGACCGUUUCCAGGGGUGGUGAUUGCGCUGUGAUGGGGAGAACCAAUCCAUGAACCAUCGGUUCAUUCUUUGGGCAAGGCUGGGCACAUUCCCGGCAGCCCUGCUACCGCUCUAUCGGGGGGCGGGGGGGUCCCCCAGGUUUUGACUUUAGUUCUCUGCCUGCUGUGCUGAGCGCCAGCUCUUCCUCUGCCCACGCCCAGCCCUCCAGGGCCCCCUCUUCAGCUCCCUGGCUUCCCAACCUCAGUGUGAUUUCCUUCACCAACUGCUUCACCCUUAGUGCGUGUUCCCUUUCCCCCCUCCUACAGACACCCUCUUUUCUUAAAGGUAAUUAGCCAACCGAACACUAAAAACAAAAAAAAAAAAAAAAAAAAAAAAAAAAAAAAAAAAAAAAAAAAAAAAAAAAAAAAAAAAAAUAGGUUAUAACUGCAAAUUUCUCACCCUCGCAUGAAAGCGCGUAUAGUUUUCACCAAAAACAUCACACAUAGGGUAUCUAAGUAAACUGGUGUGUGUGUGUACGUGCGUGCAUGGGGGCAGGGUUGGGGGGAGACCCUGGACCUUCCCAGGCUGGAUGGAUUUAUCAUCACAUUGGCCCUUUCCAGGACGAACGAUGAACAGUGCCAGUCACGGACAGAUGCCCACUGCCGUGGAAUUGCCCCAUCCUGGUGGAGUUUUGUCGUCUGAGGCAUUUGGGGGUGGGGGUGGGGGUGACUGCUUUAAAAGAAUUGAGAGGCAGCACGUGAGCCGAGUCCCAGGAAGGGAAAGCCAUGAAUCAGGAGUCAUGUAGCAAGACAGGGUUUUCCUUCGGGCCGGCUUUGGUCAGCACAGGUCCGCGGUUUCCUUAGGGAUUCCCCGACGACACGACCCAGCGGCCACGCUUUAGCAGAACGCCUCUGAUUCCCCCAUCUGACCUGACUCACCCCAGCCCCCAGAUUGCUCAGCGAUGCUCAGACCUCCAUCAAGGUGCUGUUUGGAGAGUCCACCAGAGCCCCAGAAUACCCCGCCUCCACCCUCCACCAGGCUGAUGUGUCCACUCAAUUCCCGGAAAGAAAGGCUGGACCUUCCUUGCCUUCUUCAUCUCAUGCUUGGAACCUCAAAAGAGGGAAAACACAAAGGCUGGAAAAAUAGUAGAAUAAUUA